CCUGAAAUCAGGUGGUAACAGACUGGUAUGGCAUGCAAGGGAUGAAGCGGUUACACCGCCGCACCGAUGUCAUACCGUUCGAUUCGAAAAUUGAUCCGUGGAGUUUCUAUCAUUGGCGAGGUUAAGUGCGUAAGUACGAAGCCGUAGGGAAACCGAUAGCCCGCAGCGCAAGCGAGGGGCAAGGUGUGCUCGCCUAGAGUCAAUGGUUGGAUACCCGAAGCCGGUCGAUCUAUGCCUGGGCAGGGUGAAGCCUUUCGGAAGAAGGGUGGAGGCCCGAACCAGUACUGAUGUGCAAAUCGUUUGGAUGACCUGGGUAUAGGGGCGAAAGACCAAUCUAGACCGGUAAUAGCUGGUUCCUCUCGAAACUGCUCGCAGGCAGACCUCAGCUGAGACGGGGCAUGCGGUAGAGCACUGAUUGCGUGUUUAGGAAGCGAAAGUUUUCGGCAUGCUGUCAAACUCCGAAUGUGUGUCCGUCGUAGAAGCUGGGCAGUGAGGGCAUCGGGGUAAGCUUGAUGUCCAUAAGGAAAACAAACCAGACCAAAGUUAAGGUCCCUAAGUAACAGCUAAGUGUUAAAGAACAAAUAGUGUUUAACAGCAUAGACAGCUGGAAGGUUGGCUUAGAGGCAGCCAUCCUUUAAAGAGUUCGUAACAGAUCACCAGUCAAGUUCUUGAGCCUAGAAAAUGGACGGGACUAAGUUGUUCACCGAUACUUUGGGCCACCGAAAGGUGAUGCGGUAGAGAGGCGUCGUGCGCGGGUGGAAGUGGGGCCGAGAGGUCCUGUGGACCGCGUUCGAAUGAUAAUCAUGGAAAGAGUAGUAGCGUAGAUGGGUGAGAAUCCCAUCCGCCGGAGGGGCUAGGGUUCCUCGACGAUGUUCAUCAGUCGAGGGUUAGUCGGUCCUAAGGUUCCCCCUAACAGGAGGAAUCGAAAGGGAAGCAGGUUAAAAUUCCUGCACCAAUUCAUAUUUUGUCCAGUUCCUGACACAUCGGGUCUUGUGGAGCACUCUUGUCGGAGUGUUGCCUUGAGCGAUAAAUUUGUGGAGUACCGUAAUGGUGAGAAGCAAACUAAGCUUUUGGGAGGCGGAGUAUUUCGCUUCUGCGUUAGCCUGGUGUCCGUGAAAAGGGAGCUGGAGCCGUAUGAGUUGUCCGUACCGAGAUCUGACACAGGUGCCCCUAGGUGAGUAGCCUAAGGCGUCGCGGCAGAAUCCGGGCGAGGGAAUUCGGCAAAUUAGCCCCGUACCUUUGGUAUAAGGGGUGCCAGCUCUGAAGAGAGCUGGUCGCAGUGACUAGGGAGCUCCGACUGUUUAUUAAAAACACAGGUGGCUGCUAGUCCGUAAGGAUGUGUAUAGCCGCUGAAUCCUGCCCAGUGGCAGUAUCUGAAACCAGGUUUCAACCUGACGAAGGACUGCUAAACGGCGGGGGUAACUAUGACCCUCUUAAGGUAGCGUAAUACCUUGUCGCUUAAUUGGCGACUUGCACGAACGGCCUAACGAGAGCUCUACUGUCCCCGCCCGGAGCCCGAUGAAAUUGACUUACUGGCGCACAGUCCAGUACGUCCCAGCCGCAAGCGAAGACCCCGUGGAGCUUUACUGCAACCUGCCGUUGUGGCACGAGUUGUUAUGUGUAGCGUAGACGGGAGACAUUACACAGGUGCGAGCGCUAGCUCGUCGCCGAGUCACCGAUGAAACACCGUCCUUUUCGAUUCGUCCCACUCACCUCUUAGGAGGAACCCCGGUAGGCGGGCAGUUUGGGUGGGGCGCCACUCCCUCGAAAAAAUAACAAGGGAGCCCAAAGGUCAGCUUAGGUAGGUCAGGAAUCUACCGUUAAGUGCAAGGGCAAAAGCUGGCUUGACGUGGUUUGGCAACACAACAAACCACGAUGUGAAAGCAGGGCCUAGCGAACCAACCAGCGCCGUUAGUAGGUGCGGUUGAUAACAGAAAAGUUACCCCGGGGAUAACUGAGUUGUCUGGAGCAAGAGCCCACAUCGACCUCCAGGCUUGCUACUUCGAUGUCGUCUCUUCCUAUCCUGGGUGUGCAGAAGCACCCAAGGGUGGGGUUGUUCGCCCAUUAAAAGGGAUCGUGAGAUGGG
rnacentral:rRNA from 1 species